AGGUGCAUGGGGACCGCUGCCAGACCCCGGGGCGAGCUGGUAGAGGCGGGGCGGAGAGUGGCUUCCGCGUACUUUUUCCCUUGAGGGUGGAUUCUCCGGGUGAGGAAGGACACAGGGAGUGUGUGUCUUGCCUUCGCUGCCUCCUCCUCCUUCCCUCAAUAUCCUCUUGCUAAGAGGAGGUUCAUCAUCUUCGCCUUCAUCAUUGCAUCCAGCAGCUGUCACUGCCAGUGCCACGUGCCUCGUAAGGUAGGGGAGUGGCAGACGACCUCUUUCUGCCCCUCUUCGCCCUUCCUCGCAGUGUUUCCCGCCUCCCCCCACCACCCCCCGCCCCCGAAUUUCCUUAAUAAAAAGUGGCUGGCAAAGCAGAAACAAACGCACGGUGGGGAAAGAUCUUGCAUUGUCGGGGAAGGAUACGGAUGGAGUGUAAUGGUUCUUUCUCUACAGCCAUGAAAGAGGCUGACACCUGCACACACAGGAACGACUUAAAAUAGAACUUGUCAAACAGUGAUCCGCUCUGGAUGGAGCUCCGAACAACAAACAGCUCUUGAACUCGCCUACCAGCCUAAAAAGGCUGCACUGUGUGACACUAAGGGUAGUUUGCUGCGAACCACAAACCCCACAUUUUAAAAAUCCCUUGCAGUCUUCAGAGAGAGACAGAGCAUGAGCAGGAGAGGGGCAGAGAGAGAGGGAGACACAGAAUCCGAACGAGGCUCCAGGCUCUAAGCUGUCAGCACAAAUGACGCGGAGCUCGAACUCCUGGAAUGUGAGAUCAUGACCUGAGCCGAAGUCGGGCGCUCAACCGACCGAGCCACCCCAGCUCUCAACAUUUAUGCUCCAUAGGAAGCAGAGAUACUUAUGGAAUGAAAAUAAGGACAAAUAAGACUUUCUCCAAAUAUCCUGGGAUGAAGGACACUGAAGGAAAAUUGUCAGAUGAGGUUCUGCUGCAGUAGUGGACCCUUCAUCCUACAUGACUGGUGUCCUUCCAAGAAAGGGAGAGAGAUCCAUGGAAGAAGGCAGCUCCGUGAAGACAGAGGCAGAGAUUGAAGCAGCUGCAAGCCAAAAGACCCCAAGAGUGAAUCUCUAAGAGUUUCAGAAGGAGCACGGCUCUGCCGACACCUUGAUUUUGCACUUCCAAACUUCUGAACUGUCAGCUGGAGGUUGGGCUUGGCUGGAGUGGCUCUGCUUCAAGUGUCUUUCAUGCUCCUUAUACCAGCAGGACAGCUUCGGAGCAUAUUUUUCACAUAUCAGUGGAAGAGCCAUGAGAAGGCAAGUGGAAAGGUGUGAAGUUUUUUAAAGUCUAAACUGGGGACUGGCUCACACCUACUUGCAGCCAUGCGUCACUGGUCAGAGCAAGUAACAUGGUAUAUUAGUUUCUAGGGCUUCUGUAACAAAGUAUCAGAGACUAGGCAUCUUAAAACAAUGGCAGUUUAUUUUCUCGCAGUUCUGGAGGCCAAAAGUGCCAAAUCAAGGUGUUGGCUUGGGUUGAUUCCUUCUGAAGGCCGUGAGGGAAAAGUUUGUUCCAGGCCUCUGUCCUUGGCUUGCAGAAAGCCAUCUUUCUACUCACAAAUUGUUCUCCUUGUUCACAUGUCUGUCUUCAAAUUUCCCCUUUUUAUAAGGAUACUAAUCAUAUUAGAUUAGGGCUCACCCAAUCAUUUUAACUUGAUUACCUCUUUAAAGACCCUAUCUCCAAAUAAAGUCACAUUCUGAUAUAUUGGGAGUUAGAACUUCAACACAUGAAUUUUUUUGUUGGGGCAGGAGAGAGGCCACAGUUUAACCCACAAUAUACAUUCAAGCUCAAAGUAAAGGGCUUAUAAACCCUCCUACAAUGAAGACAUGACAAGAGUAUGAAUGUAGGAAGGGGUGAAGAAUGGGAGUGAGUCUUAAUAGUAUAAACUUCAUUUUUUUUAAGUUUAUUUAUUUAUUUUGGAGAGAGAGAGAGCAUAAGCAGGGAAGGGGCAGAGAGAGAGAGAGAGAGGGAGAGAGAGAGAGAUUUCCAAGCAGGCUGUGUGCUGUUGGUGCAGAGCAAGACGUGGGGCUUGGACUCACAAACUGUGAGAACAUGACCUGAGCUGAAAUCAAGAGUGGGAUGCUUAACUGACUUAGCCACCCAGGCAUCCCAGUAGUUUAAACUUUAA